ensembl:lncRNA
AAACAUACUGGGCCCUAUUGAAAGUCUUUUUCAGGAGGAUGCCAGGCAGUUCUGAUAAACGUAUUGUUACAACUAAGUGGAGGCAUUGAAUCAGAAGCAUGUUUUUGUCAGUAUCUCGCAGAGAGAUGGAAAACUGAGCUGAAAGAACAGUCCAGGACUCCCGGAAAGGGACUUCCAACAAGUGAGUCAAGAGCCCUGAUUUUGAAAUACAUACAACAAUGUGUGAUGAUAAUUCGCCCAUGCCUGAGGAAGACAGAAACACAGCAGGAGCAGAAAGAAGCUCCUUGAAAUUGUGACAGAUUCCAUAUCAAGAAUCUGGAAAUGUGGGAAGAUUUCAUUAUGAGGCCUUGAACAUGGAUUAUCUCCAAACCCAAUGAGCUCUGAUUUCUAGACUGCUUUGAAAAAUCCCAUAUUCAUUUUGCUAACUUGGUAUUUGGGGACACUCCUCCUUGGCUGUUCUUUUCUUUGAGCCCUUCUCAGUCACGUUUGUAGGGUGUCUUUCUUUACCUACCACUCAGUUUUGUUUAAAACACACACACAACCCUAGAGAAUCUCAAGAAUAAUCUUACUCCAUUAAUAAUGUGUUUUUAUUUAUUGAGCAUAGUUUGUGCUAAGCAUUGUGUUAGAUUUAAAAAUUAGUGCAUUGACUCCACUCGUUUUUUGUUUGUUUGUUUGUUUUUUCGUUUUCGAGAUGGAGUUUUGCUCUUGUCGCCCAGGCUGGAGUGCAGUGGCAUGAUCUCAGCUCACUGCAACCUCCGCCUCCCAGUUUCAAGUGAUCCUCCUGCCUCACCUUCCCAACUACCUGGGAUUACAGGUGCACACCGCCAUGCCUAGGUAAUUUUUGUAUUUUUAGUACAGACAGGGUUUCACCAUGUUGGCCAGGCUGGUCUCAACCUACUGACCUCAGGUAAUCCACCCGCCUCGGCCUCCCAAAGUGCUGGGAUUACAGGCGUGAGCCACCACGCCCAGCCUGACUCUGUUUUUUGCUGUUUAUUGAAAAUUAAUACAACUUUGUAUUUGAAAAAAAUUGAACAGUAUUCCAUUGUGUAUAUAUACCACAUUUUCUUCCUCCAUUCAUCCACUGAUGGAUGCAUAGGUUGACUCCAUCUCUUAGUUCUUGUGAAUAAUUCUGCAGUGAACAUGGGACAGCACAUAUCUCUUUAGCACAUUGAUUUCAAUCUUUUGAUGUUUACCCAGUAGGGGGAUUACUAGAUAAUACGGCAUUUCUAUUUUUAGUCUUUGAGGAACUUCCAUACUGUUUUAGAUAAUGGCUAUACUAAUUUACAUUCCCACCAUUAGUGUGCAGUAUUCAUAGUUUUGUCAACACUUGUUACUUUUGUCUUUUUGAUGAUAGCCAUUCUAUUAGCUAUGAGGUAAUAUCUUCUUGUGGUUUUAUUUCUUAUUUCCCUGAUGAUUAGUGAUGUUGAAUAUUUUUAAAUGAAACUAUUGGGCAUUUAUGUGUUUUUUGAGAAAUGUCUCCUCAGGUUCUUUGCCCAUUUUACAACCGUGUUAUUUUUCUAACUAUUGAGUUUUUAAGUUCCUUAUAAAUUUUGGAUAUUAUCCUCUUAUCAGAUAUAUGGUUUGCAAAUAUUACUCUUACUCUACAGGUUGUCUCUUCACUUUGUUAAUUGUUUACUUCACUGUGAAAAGCAUUUUAGUUUAAUGCUAUUCCAUCUGUAAUUUUGCUUUCAUUGCCUGUGCUUUGCGGGUGAUACUCAAAAAAUAAUUACUCAGGUCUAUGUCGUGGAGCUUUUACCUUCUUUUUUUCUAGUACUUUUACAGUUUCAGGUCUUAUAUUUAAGUUUUUGGUCUAUUUUGAGUUUAUUUUUGUACAU